ensembl:lncRNA
CCCCCCCCCCACCAGGAUUAGCUGGUGCAGGAGACACAUCCAGCACACACAGAGUUUAGUAAAAUAUGCACUUCAUGGGUCAGUGUUUCUAGAUUUAAUGAAGGACUCGUGCCUUAGGCACAGGGUUGGGGUCUGACCCAGCAGCAGCUCAGCACCACACAGCCCUUUGCUCACAACCUCCCCCCAAUGGGAGGGGGGAGAGAAUCAGGAGAAAGAAAGCAAUGUAGGACUCAGAGGUGGAGGUAAAAGCUAUUUACUAAGACAGAAAAGGAAGAGAACAGGAAAAUAGUAGCGACAAUAAUAUAUAUUUACAAAGUAAGUGAUGCACAGUGCAAUUGCUGACCACCCGCCGACCAAUGCCCACCGGUCCUGAGCAGCAGCUGCUCCAGCAGUUCCCCACUGCUGUCCAGGCUUUCUGCAUGAAGCCAUGUGGUAUGGGACACCCCUGCGGUCAGCUGAGGUCAGCUGUCCUGGCUCCAUCCCCUCCCAGCUCCCUGUGCCCCCCCAGCCCCUCACUGGCAGCACAGUGCCAGAAGCUGAAGACUGAAGGGUGGUUGCAGCAGUGCUCAGCAGCAGCCAAACAUCGCUGUGCUAUCAGCAUCAUUUUUCUCCCAAAGCCAAAACUCAGCACCCUACUAUGCUAUUCCUACACUAUGAAGGAAAAUUCAACUAUGUCCCAGCUGAAACCAGAACAAAAAGUCACCUUCUACCCAAUACAACCCGCCAAUAAUUAGCUUUCAGGAUCACAUCCCAUCUGAUCACCACACCUCCACGUAUUUCCAGCCUGUCCACAUCCCUGAGCCAUGCCAGGAGCCCUGCUGCCAUCCCUUACACACACCCCGCUGCAGCACAGCCCCCCAACCUGUUUUCACCUGCAGUAAAUCCCAGUGCUGUUCUCAACCCAGCCAUCAGCCACAGGUUCAGACCUGCAAUUACUUGUGGGACAGUUAUUUAUUAGUAAAUGUCUGGCUGCCGGAUUUAUAGCCAUGGAGGCUUGAUGCAGUGGCAGGCAGGGAACAGCUAAGCAUCCAUGUCUGUAAAUAAGCCAUCAGGACAUCUGGGUGAUUUGCAGAUUCAGCUACAAUCAUUUAUAGGUGGAACAGAGAGGUCCUAUUGCCAACACCUGCCCCAAGCCUGCAGGCACGACUUCAGCAGAUGCGUUGGAUGAACCACUAUGAGAAUCUCACUUCACUGUGAAUCCAAGUGUUCCUAAACAUCAAGGAAGGAAAGAAACAGCAGAGCUGUUGAACUGGGCUUGGUUUCUGGCACCUGAGCCAAGGAUUCCCCUCACCUGUGCCACUGUACCACGCUGAAGUUACAACUUGGCAGUAGACUGGGAGUGAUCCUGCCCUCUGGCACUGGCAACCUCACAAAUACCCACUGCUGCCCAAACGGGCAACUGUCCAUGGCCUGUCUGGUGCCUGCACUGUUAUUACGAGGUCUUACAACCAGCCCGGGGAGGUUUCCCUUGCACAUCUCUCUGGGAAAAAGCCAAGCUCCUGGAUAAGCACAGAGCCCAGCAGUGCUCUUACAGCCACUUGGGAUCUGAGCGCUUACAAACCCACUGCUGAGAGCCACAGAGUGACAGGAGCUGAGGAGGUGGUGCCACAGCGGUGGCCACAGAGAUCAUAGAAUCAUAGAAUUGAGUUGGAAGGGACCUUUAAAGGUCAUCUGGUCCAACUCUCCUGUGGAUGACAGCCCCGGCUCCUUCAGGUCCACCUCUCCUGGAGCAGGGGCUACCCUGGCUCAGGGCUGCUCACACAGUUGCUCAAGGAAGGAAAGAAAACCCAGUGGCAGUUCAAAAACACCCAAACACUCUGCACAAGCUUUUGGGGUGGAAGUUGAAGAAGAGACCACAGCAACUGGCACUGACACAGCUGCCCAGAGAGCUGUGGGUACCCCAUCCCUGGAGGUGCUCAAGGCCAGGUGGGAUGCAGCCCUGGGCAGCCUGAGCUGGUGGGGGCAGCCAGCCCAUGGCAGGGGUUGGGACUCGGUGGGCUGCAAGUUCCCCUCCAACCCAAGCCCUUCUAUGGUUCUAUGAAUUGGCUGAGGAGUUUUACGGAGGCAGAACUAAGUUGUCAAAGCUGUGACACGGCCAGGGCACCAGCUCAACCAUGGCCUAAGACUGUAACAGGACCUGAUGUCCACAGAGACCUAACGCUUGGCUUUAUGCCUCCUCCAAUACACAGCCCAAGGGGCAGAGGCUCUCCCAUUGAUCUCUGCAGGACAAAUACCUCCUGUGUCAUUCACAAACUUCUUAUGAGGCUUGGGCUUUUCACAGCAGCUUCCCACAUGGCCGCUGACCCCAUCAAACACAUCACAUAGUUGCUACCAUACACCAAACACAGCCCAGCCCUGGGACUGUGCACACUGGGCCAUGCUCCCUGUCACACCCCACCGCUCCCUGUCAUCCAUCUCCAGCUGCUGUGGCACCAGGUCCAGCUUUAUGGUUUCACCUCAGAUCCUAAAGGAUACCAAGAAGCGGGUCAAGUUCAGAAGAAACGCACGGUUUUACCAUCCACAAUACAUGAGCAAGGAUCCUGCUCUCGCCCCGUGUUGGUCGGGGAGCUCAAGGCACAGAAUCAUCUCCACAGCCAGAGCCAGGUGUUGACGAGGCAGGCAGAGAGCAGCAUGGAGUACACCAAGGGCUCCUCUUUCCGCCAGGCCUUGUGCUGCUCCUCCAGCACACGCAGCCGCUCCGAGAUCCUCGCCAGCUGCAAGGAGAGCAGCGUGAGGAGCACCACCCAGGGCUAGUUGGCAAUGCCAGCAAACCAGGCCCUAGCAACGAGACCCGGAGCACACUCAUCCACUCUCUUGCAGCUUCCCCAGGAAACACCUGCAGCCUUACACUCCUUCUCUCACCUCCUUUUUCAUCGCUGCAGCCUCAGCCACAAUGACCUCCUCCGGGGCUGCGCCAACCUCCUGGGAGCUGCGGGAGGAAAACAGAGAUGCACACUGUUCAGGAGGUACAGUUACCCUCCUGCACACAUGGCACUGCCGUGAGGAGCCAUGCAGCACUGUGCACACCCAGCAUGCAGGAUAGGGAGAGAGGAAACAGCACUCACACAACAUCUACCAACUUCUUCUUACCCCCAUCAUGCUUAUGCAUCCACCAUGCAGCCCGCAGCGAUCACAACAAAGCACUCAAUGCAUGCUACAACAGGCAACAGGAAAACCACAUGCUUAUGUUUUUUUAGAUACCCAACAGAGAGGAAACAUAUUUACCCAAAGUCCAUUUCCUAUAGCCAGAGGAAUCCACUGAGGAUUGGAUAAACCAUCAUUAGAGCAAGUCAGGCAAACAGAGAUCCCACAGCCAGUGCCCAGAUGGAGGGAUGGUAUUUACCCAGCAAGAGAAGACCCAGUGGGUAGGAAGCAGCCACCAGCAGGGGGACCUAUCUGAGCACGUGCCUGGGUUUGCUGGCACCGGGAUUUGGUCCUCUCCAAUACUUCCCUCACAAAAGGCAUUGUCUUUUUCCCUCACAGCAAAUGUUAUUUGCAAUCAGAAGUAUAAACAAGCAUUCCAACCAUGCACCACUUCCCUCCUUCCUUGAAAACAAAGGGACAGAGGCCAUGGCUGAGCAUCUCCUGCAGAUACAACCUUGCUCCAGGGCUCACAGCACAAAGCCACAAAUAAAGUAGAUCCACACUGAGAAACUAGAGUUGCCAUGUUCAUCUGUUAUUCCCAUCAUUAUAGGGUAGCGCUCCAUCAGCUCAUCUGUAAUCCAAAGUUCUCCUGUAGACACCAACAUGGUGGGUGCCCCAUCCCUGGAGAUACCCAAGGUCAGGCUGGACAGGGCUCUGAGCACCUGACGGAGCCGUAGGUGACCCUGCUCAUUGCAGGGGAAUUGGAUCUGAUGGCCUUUAAGGGUCCCUUCCAACUCAAACCACGCUAUGUUUUGCCACAGGCCCUCAUUGACACGUUAUGGGUUAACAGAGUUGAACAAGUUCCUCUGAGGACCCCAGGAAGGGAAGAACUCACUCAUGUCAUUCAGGGAGUUGGCCCGAAAACACAUUCUUGAGAUAAUACAUCCACAUAAUGCAGCUGUGGUAAAUAUGAAAGUCACAAUAGAAAGAAUAUCAAAUUUCACCCGGUACAAAGCCAUUAAAAUUGGACAUUUCCUGCAGCUUUUACUUGAAAAAUCCCCAUUGACACAAGCGAACACCCUUUACAGUAGAGAACAGAAAUUACCUCUGAUGACUCAUACCCUUCAAGAGGUCACUGCCAUGGAAAUAUUCCAGCCUCUCUCUGAGGCCAGAGCUUUCUUUAUUAGAACUUCAGGAUAAACAAGUCAGCUCAGUCUCUUUCUUAUUGCUGUGGGGAGUACGAAAGAAUGCAUGCAUUUCAAAUGAUGCAGAGUAGCAAGACAAGGCAUUCCAAGUUGCCUGGCUCCAAAGGUAGAUGGAGAGCUGGGAAGAGCUCAGGACUCACCCUACUCUCUAAGUUCCCUCCUCCACAGUACCAUGGCUAAAAAACUCCUCCACGUCAGACAGGAGGAGGUCUAUGUGUGCAAUAACCAAACUUUUAAAAGCUAAAAAAAAAAAAAAGCCACAUUUGAAGAUGUCCCUGCUUUUAAGCAGCGUGCCGGCCAUCACCUGGUACUGCCCACAGAGAGAAACUCUGCUGCCUGCAGCCCUGCUCCAGUCGGGGAGGGAAGGUACCAUGUGCCAGGGUGGCAUGGAUGAUGGAUGCUCCCCCUCCUCCCCAUCUGCCUGGAGGUUUUGCUCAAGGAGAGUUAGAAGUAUUCUGACAAUUCAACCUCGGUGAUUCUGUGAUUCUAUGAUUUUUAGGUGAGGUGCCUCUGUGUGGAGCCAGGAUUUGGAUUAGAUGAUCCUUAGGGGUCCCUUCCAACACAGGAUAGUCUAUGGUUCUAUGAAAAGGUUACUGAAAAGCAACCAAGAGAUGGCCAUGCAUGUUGCAAGGACACAGGAGAGGUGUCUUGGUGACAGGAUCAAGACUGGGCCAUCUGUGCUGGGUUUUGAUUCCCUUUCGACAUUUCUCUCCAUCACGCUAUCAAGGCAUACAGAAAGAGUAGCAUUGAAGAGUAGCUCAAACUCAGUAGUGUCACAGGAGGUGUUAGGUCCCUUGGGUAGCACAAAACCAAGCAGGAGGCACCCAGCCUGACCACACCAGGCGCCCAGAGCUGGCAGCAUAAGUAAGAAGAAGGGGGCUGGAGCAGCCAUAUCCUGUGAGGUUAGAAAGCUCAGGGCUGGCUCCUGCCUCAGCAAGGCAAAGUUAGGUCUGUGUAGAGCAGCUGGAGGUGGCUCAGGACAAGCCAACGUCACCUGGAUGGCACCGGGUCUUGCAGAGAGUUCUGGACACGGUGGAAGAGCACCUGGCCCAGCAGGUACAUGGUCUGGAAGAUGUUCUGCAUGGAGUAGAUCCUGCCUGUCCCAGCAAAGAGGGGAAGUGGGGCACUGUGAGCAGGAGGGGGGCAGGUGUCCAGCCUGGGAUGCACACAGAACCACACUGGUUACUGCCUGGCCUCACACAGCACAAUCACAGGCCCUAUGUCCCUCCAGCAGCUCCGAGCACCACAGGGCGAUGCCAUCAACACCCAGACCUCUGUGUCACCGGGUGAGAGGAGCUCCUCCAGCAGCCCAGGUUCAGUCGCUUGGAUCCUCCAAAGGCUGCAAUGACAGUGUGAUAACCACACCUCUCUGCCAGCCCAGAACAGGCUUUCUUCUAGGCAGAAGAUGGCUCUGCUCUGGGAUUAAGUUCAAGGAUUUUCACCACUGGAGAGAAAGCCCAUGAUGUCAACCAUAUUAUUACUCAAAAAAAGCACGUGUGCUCUUUGCUCACCCUGGCUGCAAACCCAACAGCCAGGUAAGGACCCUCAGGGCUGCCACCAAGCUCCAAGUGGGGACACACUGUCCCACUUGCAUCAGGUGGCAGAAAACCUCUCCUUACUGAUACCAGAGGACACUUUCCUCUUAAGUAACUUCAUGCAAGACUAGGGCUAGCCCUGAUUUGGAUUAGCCCCAUCUUGGGGCACCAACACAAAGCAUCAAAGACCCCACAGAUGCUGGUCCCCACCCACCCUGUACCACUCUAGGUCCAUGCUCACCGCUCAUGGUGCCGGGCUGGGCUGUGCAAGACCAGCUGGGCACUGUCACUUGGGGACUGCUGUGACCCGCUGCUGUGCUGGCUCUGCCGCCGUGACCUGCUGCUGUGGUGGCCCUGUUGGCAUCAAACACAGAUGCAGUGGAGUCAAUGAAUCAUCAAGGUUGGAAAAGACCACUAAGAUCAUCCAGUCCAACCAUCAACCCAUCGCCACCAUGCUCAGUUUAGGCAGAGCCAACCCUGUGCCCCAUGAAAAGCCCUCCGUGGUGGGGGCAUUGCACAAACCCCAGCCCAGUGAGAUGAUCCUGGACCUCCUGAGCAAACCAACCACUGGGAACGUGCUCCCUUUGCCAACACAAGCAAGCCCACCCACUCCCGUUACAGUACCAGUCGUCUGCGAUUCUGGGCACUUGAUCUGCCAGCCACGUGCAUAAAAGGGGUCUCCCCCAGCGUGGAGUGCUGAGCCGAGGAGUCUAUGGAUACGCACACCUCAGUGGAGGGGAUAUUCCUCUGCUGGUCCAGCAGGAUGGGUCUCAGAUCUGCAUCUGAUGUUUCCACAGAAAAAAGAGAGGGAAGAAUGAAACAACCCCAACGUGCUCCAUUGUUCUCAGGGCAGCAGGGAAGAGAGAUUCUCUCAUAUAGGGCUGUCAGCCCUGUGCCCACUGUUACCGGAUGCACAUCAAAAGCCACAUUCUGAAAAUGCGAGCAACUGGAGAGCCUGGAGAGGCGUGGACUGGAAAUCAGCUGGAUGUACCACUCCAGGAAAGCAGAGGUUGGGAAGAGUUUGUCAAAGAACAGGCCCAUAUAUCUCAGCAUCCCAAAAACUGAGAGGAAACUGGAAGACGUGGAAGGAGAUGCCUCCAGAUUUUGCUCCUCACAUUUUGAAUCGAAGGCCCCUCCUGCCUUCUGCUGGUCACCUUCAUCCACCUUUCCUCCUUAGGCAUCUCUUCACUUUCCCACACUACCUUCCAGGAGAAAGAUGACUACAAUAUCUGACCCUUUCCUCUCUUGCAAAGCAAACCACUGAGCGCUUUAGAAAAUAGUUCUCCCUACAACGUUACAGAGCCCCGCCAAACUUCAGGCACCCCAAAAAAAACCCAGUACAUUACCUGCAAGAGAAAUCCUAACAGGGAUGCGUGUUGGAAAGGAAGGGGGUACACCUUCAGACGUGGGCUCCUCAUCCACAGGGCUGAAGCUGUUUGCCACAGUGAGUCUGUUGGGGACCCGCAUCCUUCGAUUGAUGUCCUCAGUGAAGAGCAGGUCACAGCGGACUACGUUCACUUUCUGCUCCAAAAGCGGCCACAUCUUGUUUGUUUCACCCAGACUGCACGGGCAGCCAAGCGACACCUGCACAGGGGCAGCACACGUGCUGUAAGGCACCUAUACAUAGGCAGAAACAACAACAAACAGAACCAUAGGAGAACAGGGAGUCCUAUGGAGCCCAGCUGGCAGGGGCGAGUGCAUGGGGUGGGAAGAGCUGCCAGCAGGAUGAGAUGGGAGAACUAAACUCUCCCCACACACACUUUUACCAUAGAAUCCCCUAAGGCCAUACUGCACCCAUGCCCAUCUCCCGGAGGGAUCCACACCAAGGAGCUGAAUGGGAUGGACUUUGUUUCAGGCAGUGGUGUUGGACACUGACCAUCUUCCCACAGGGAAAGGAAGCCUCUUCCAGCAAGGACACAGCAGGGACACAGGUCCCCAGUCCCUCUGCUUUCUGAUUUAUUGUUCUUGACAUUACUGAUGUGCUGCUCUGGGUUCUUCCAGACCCCAGCCAACCCCAUUCCCCUACAGCCCCCUCUGCCCUCCCUCCUGCCCUGCUUUGGUCUCGAAGUACCCAAGAAUCCCCCUUCGCUUCUGAGUCAAAAUCCCCCAGCGCAGCCCAAACCACUGCAGGAAGGGGACGUUUUCCUCUUCAAAGCUCAGAAAGGGAGAACGGGAGGAGGCGAGGACGGGAGCGCGGGGGCUCUGCAUGCUCUGAUCACGUCGGGCUCUAUUUUUAGCACCCUGCGCUCUGACGCUGCAUUGCCAGCCCAGCAAGCCACUCCCAGCUGGCAGCAGCCAGGGCUCCCCACUGCCAUCCCCAUCCCCAUCCCCAUCGCACCUCCCGGGAGCAGCAGCACUCAGAUGGCCGGAGACGCAGCCCCAGAGCACCAAUCCCGUCCCACAGCACCAGCAAACCCUGCAACUCCAGGCACGCCAGGGCGGCUCCCCGCCAACAGUAAUCACUUCACUCUGUUCUCUCCUCCUCCAUCAUUAAAAACCUUUUAAUUAAAGGGACAGAAGCCUGCCCGGCGUCAGCAGCUGCGGCACUUUGCUGCUUCCACGUGCGUGGGAACGAGAUCCCCGUUCCCUCAAAUCGGGUCGGCCCCGACACCGAGUCCUGGGACUGUCCCAGAAAGGUGCCAUUCCCGCAGCAGAAUGCUGGAUCAGACACUCAGCCCCACGGCCCGCAGCCGUGGCAAGCACCGGGUCCAUCCUCCGGCAAGGGGGUUUUAGAGGAACAAACGCCCUGCGCUGCCUUCUUGCCCUUCUUCCUGGGAAAGCAGCGCAUGAAGAGCAAUAAAUCAGAAAGAGGGAGGAGGUUCACGUUGUAAUCGCCUAUGGAACUGCCACAGCUCCCAGGGAGAAAAGGGAUGAGAGGGGAGCGAGGAGCGGGCUCCGACAGUCUAAGCCGCGCGCACACACACACACAAAAUCCCCAAAUGUCAAAAUCCAUAAGAAGAAAAGGCUUAAACGGCCGGAUUUCCGCCUUUAACUUUCUGCACGGCUUUCUCUAGCUGCUGCCGAGCAACCCCGCUCACGCCGAUGGAACACGACCGCUCCCCACCUCCGCGCCGCGCUUCUCCUCGCAUUGGCAGUGCGGGGGAUGAGGCGCUGGGGAGGGGGGAAGCGGAGGGGACCCCCCCCGUCCUGCCCUGCGGAAGGACCGCCCGCCUCUCUCCCGGCGCGGGCAGGAGGGGCGGCAGCAGCCAUCCCUCCUUCCCAAACGGUUUCAAGCAACUUCUCAACCUGUAAGCAGCCGUCUUCCUGCCC